GUGCUUGUCCCGUAUGUCGGCCGACGGGAAGCGGGCGCCGCACAGGUGACACACGAACACGACGUGGCGGCUCGAAGUGGGCGGCGGCGGCCCCGCUGCCAUUUCGUGCGCCGCCAUGUGCUUCUUCAGGUGACGAUAUACAGGCCCAAUGGUGCAAAAGCUUUUCUUGUGCUGGACUGCCCACCUGCUCCCCCAGAUGAUCCAGCAAACGUUCACAUUUGUCGCUAUGAGGAUCUUCAAGUUUGUGUGUUGUGUUAUAAAAAAUACUGGAAGGAGUACCAGUACGCCUCUCAGUUCUCGCAGCCGGUUAAGUCCACAACCCCCAAACUGACCCUUUAGACCAAGUACCCAAAGGCCGUGUUGACGGAGAACUCCCCCAGUGCCGGACUGCUUCUAUGAUGCUGAGCACAAGGGGGCAAAGAGACGCAAGACGUCGCGUGGUGGAGAACAGCGGCAAGUCGGCUACGGGGAGGGGUGAGCUGGACCUGAGCGCCCCUGGCCACCAGAGGGCAGUAAAGCACAAGAACGUUGCUUUUCAUUUCCCAUUGCGCAAUCGUGUUAAGGUUUGUAGGACGCAUGUUCCUUAUUUUUGUCGGGCAUUUCUUUUCUCAUUGGGUUGAUGUCAUGUUGGUUGUAUUUGUGAGACUUGCGACACACCAUUGCACUGCUUUCUACGACACACUAAAACCAAAGUAGUUCCAAACGCCAGAUUUGAAGGAUUUAUACAGAAAAUGUGAAAUGCCCUACUGGCAUUUAGUGAAGCGUGAUCACUGUAGCGAAAGAUCCAAUAAAGAUACAUGUAUUGUUGCACCCCUAAUAUACACAGCCGCUGAAAUACGAAUUUAACACAUCACUAUUUUUCUCACUACAUAUACUUCCAAAGGUGCUACUGGCCUGAAAAUUCCACCAGAUGUUGGGAACAACCCAAGUAAUCUAUACAUACAAAUAAAGUAGAACAAAUAAGAUCAGAAAUUAAGUUUUGUGGAAGAAUGUGAAAAAGUAUUGAACACAUGAAGAAAGGGAGGUGCAAAAAUUGCAUGGAAAGCCAAGACAACACCUAAACAGCAAUCCAGCCCCUUGUCAGUGCAAAUAAAUAUCAGCUGGUUCAGUCCUAAUUGAUGGCCUACAAAAAGGUCUCAUUGCCAAGGUGUGAAUCAAGACACAUCUCAUGAUGGGUAAGAGCAGAGCGCUGUCUCAAGACCAUCGCAAACUAAUUGUUGCAAAACAUAACGACGGCAUUUGUUAUAGGCGCAUGUGUCAGCUUCUGAAUCUUCCAGUCAGCACGGUCGGGGCCAUAAUACGUAGGUGGAAAGCCAAUCAUACCACCAUAAAUUUGCCUUUAUCAGGUGCUCCUCACAAGAUUCCUGACACAGGAGUCCAAAGAAUAAUCAGAAGAGUUUUCCAAGAGCCAAGGACCACCUGUGGAGAGCUCCAAAAAGACCUGGAAUUAGCAGGUACUGUUGUCACAAGGACAACAGUGAAAAAUGUAUUCCACCGCUAUGGCCUGUAUGCACGCUCACCACGCAAGACCCCAUUGCUGGGGGGGGAAAAAAAAAAAGCAUGUCAAAGCUCAUUUAAAGUUUGCUGAACAACAUUUGGACGAGCCAAUUAAAUACUGGGAGAAUAUAGUUGGGUCUGAUGAGAACAAAAUUGAACUCUUUGGAUGGCAUAAUGCACACCACGUUUGGAGGAGAAAUGCACCUCACCCUAUAAAACACCAUAACAAAAGUGUAGUACAUAGAUGGGAACAUGAUGGGGUGGGGCUGCUUUUCAGCAAAUGGUACUGGUAAACUUCACAUUAUUGAAGGAAAGAUGAAUGGGCAAAUGUACUGAGAUAUUCUUGACAAAAAUCUGCUGCCAUCUACAAGGUUUAUGAAAAUUAAACGAGGGUGGACAUUUCUGCAGGUUAAUGAUCCAAAAGAUACUUCCAAGGAAACUUUCAAUUGGUUUCAAAGAAAAAUAUAAAGCUGCUAGAAUGUGUUGCAGCCAUAAAAUUCGAAGUUAAUGAUUAUUUUCAAAAACAAUAAAGUUUAUCAGUUUGAACAUUAAAUAUCUUGUCUUUGUAGUGUAAUCAAUUAAAUAUAGGUUGAACAUGAUUUGCAAAUCAUUGUAUUCUGUUUUUAUUUAUGUUUAACACAACGUCCCAACUUCAUUGGAAUUGGGGUUGUACAAGCAGCACAUUGACUGUCCACCAGGGAAAACAAGAUUCUAGACCACUGCUAGACCACGCUGAAGGACUCUUACGGUGCUAUUCCCUGUGCAGCUUUGGGCUCGUCUCAUCACUGUUUAAUUCACUUAAUACCAACAUACAGACACAGACUUCAAUGUGCGUAGCCUGUGGUGAAAACAGUGAUGAAGUGGACCAAUGAAGCUAAGAUGCCACUUCAAGACUGUUUAGACUGCACAGAUUGGAGUGUCUUUGAAACUUCAACUGGCAGCUCGGAUGAAUGUACGGACACUAUUACAUCCUACUUCUUCUGUGAAGACGUGUGUUUACCAAGAAGAAUACAAUACAAUAACAACAAGCCGUGGUUCACCACCAAACUUCGCCAACUCCACCAGGCUAAAGUAUUGAAGUGGUGACAGAGCCCUGUACAAUCAGGCCAGUAACCAGUUGACAAAAGAAAUCAACAUCGUAAAGAGAGGCUCAUGCUGGAAGUAGCCUACCCAAGAAAUCCAGAAAAACUGAUACGGUUUAACACUAUAUCUUCAUGUCAUUUGCUGGUUCAUGAUGAGUCACACCCUUUGUGUUAUGUGUAUCAGCUCCCGUCCAGAAGGUCCCGGGAUUGCCACCAACACACCCAUACAAGGGUGUACUGUUUUACACGUGUAUUGUUUAUGUGGAUGAAAACUUCACAUCCAAUCCAAAUUAAAUUGAAACAAUUUGUUAUUUUUGGCUGUUCUGAAUCACAAUUUUAUUGGCAUUUCCAUUUUCAGAAUAUAAAUGAUUUAUGAUCAUUUUGUUUUCUUUCACACCGUAAUCCUGGACUUCCGUAAUUCCCGGUCAGUGCGCUAUUUACAAACAGCAAUCUGCCUACCCUGUCUCUCUUCCAAAAUCCGCUGGUGUGGACUCCAGUUCCACUGUCGUCCUGAACAUUUGUAAUCGCCAUCGAUUAUGAUCGCUCAAUGGAAAAUUCAAUUCACACUGUUCAGAAUAUUUUUGUUGCACACUAUGCAGAUCACAUGCAUUCAUGGCGAGAUUGGAACGAUGGUGAUCAUUUUCCCCGUGGCUUGGUCAAGGAAAAUUUAGUCCAAUGCAAAUUCCUCCUCAAACAUUUAUGAAACUUUUAGAAGCACAGAUGUCAAGUGAAAACCUGGAUAACAGUAAUUUGUUCAACUCUUUUUCAUUUAAGAUGAAAAAUAAACAUUCUUCAAAUACCCUGAGAUCUGAAUCGUUACCGAUAGAUGUACACAAAUCUAUUUGGAGUGCAGAAUUGUUUGUAAAACUGCUGUAAAGUGUCAACAACCUAUGAGUUAUUUGCUAACUGGUGUUCAGGUAACUUCCUCCUCUAUGAAACCAGAGAUAGAGAAUGUGAAACCAUCAAGUAUAAUUGAGGGGAUGGUUGUAUUUUUUAUUUUUUUUUGCUUUUCCUAUUGGUAAACACUCCACCUGAUGCGAGGAUGACGCAGGUUAGUUACACUUUGAAAAUCCCUGGCGACUCGAGUGCAUGUCGUCGUUCUAUCCACGUUUGUUUAUUUUUUGUGCUGUCACCGCUCCAGAAUCGUACGACUUCGGAGAGCUCAAGUGACUCGAAAUGACUGAUCGAUGAUGAAGUAUUCGACUCCCAAAAUGCAAAUAGACUCAUUAACACUCCAAUGACUUGAUACUUAAAAAGUGUUGUCAAACUGGUCACAGUGACUGAACGACGCAGUUUAGCGAGUCUGGGGUUUCCCACGGUCAAAACACUUGUUUGUUUUCAAAACAUAGACCGGAGCUCAAAGGCGGUUAAGUCGCGCAGCCUUGACAAGAACCUGUCGAGUCGUCUGCUAAUAAACGCGAUGAAUGAUGUAAUACUUGUACCCAGAUCUCAGAACUGUGAGGCAGAUGUGUUAACCACUAGAUCAGUGUUCCCCAACCUUUAUUGAGCCAAUGCACUCAUUUUACAUUACAAUUAUCUCACGGCACACCAUCAAAGAAAUGAUCCUGUCUCCAUUUAUGAAUAGCAACAGGUUUAUUGUACCUUCUACCGUCUAAUGUAGUGGUCACCAACCAUUUCAAGCCCAAGAUCACUUUUUUUCCACAGAAUGUAAGCUGAGAUCGACCGCUACAAGAAGUCUCUCUCUUUUUUUUUUUUGA